UACGUAGGGGGCGAGCGUUGUCCGGAUUUAUUGGGCGUAAAGAGCGUGUAGGCGGCCAGGUAGGUCUGCUGUGAAAACUCGAGGCUCAACCUCGAGACGUCGGCGGAAACCAUCUGGCUAGAGUCCGGAAGAGGAGAGUGGAAUUCCUGGUGUAGCGGUGGAAUGCGCAGAUAUCAGGAAGAACACCAACGGCGAAGGCAGCUCGCUGGGACGGUACUGACGCUGAGACGCGAAAGCGUGGGGAGCGAACAGG
rnacentral:rRNA from 1 species